rnacentral:rRNA from 1 species
GAUGAACGCUGGCGGCGUGCCUAAUACAUGCAAGUCGAGCGAACAGACGAGGAGCUUGCUCCUCUGACGUUAGCGGCGGACGGGGGAGUAACACGUGGAUAACCUACCUAUAAGACUGGGAUAACUUCGGGAAACCGGAGCUAAUACCGGAUAAUAUAUUGAACCGCAUGGUUCAAUAGUGAAAGACGGUUUUGCUGUCACUUAUAGAUGGAUCCGCGCCGCAUUAGCUAGUUGGUAAGGUAACGGUUUACCAAGGCAACGAUGAGUAGCCGACCUGAGAGGGUGAUCGGCCACACUGGAACUGAGACACGGUCCAGACUCCUACGGGAGGCAGCAGUAGGGAAUCUUCCGCAAUGGGCGAAAGCCUGACGGAGCAACGCCGCGUGAGUGAUGAAGGUCUUCGGAUCGUAAAACUCUGUUAUUAGGGAAGAACAAAUGUGUAAGUAACUAUGCACGUCUUGACGGUACCUAAUCAGAAAGCCACGGCUAACUACGUG